UUGCUGAGGUACCCCCGAAGCAUGUGUUGUCGCCCCGAUGAAAUAUUCUUAGACUAGGUCCCUUAUGUUAGUUGUUUUAGGGACAUUAAAGUGAGAAUAACGGGAAUGGGUAAUUGGGUUAUUGUUGGUUGGUGAAAAUUAAAUAUGAUAUUUAUUGUGGGUUGAAAACCCUAUAUGCUCACCAGGCUCCCAAGCCUGACCCACUCAGUUUUAAAUUGUAUUACAGGUAGUGGCGGAAGGGCAUGAGAUGGAUGAACCAUCAAGUUGUUUUGUUUACAAGUCUGCAUAUGUUUAUAUUUGUUAUAUGACUUGUAAUGUAUUCGUUUAUGCUUAUUGGUCUGUAUCGGAACAUGACACCCCGAGUUUUGAUUAUAAUGAAAAUACAUUUCUUUUAUGAAAUGCUUCGGUAAACAAUGUUUUAUCAUGUUUUGUUUUUGGGAACAAAUUCCGCAACUCUUUCAAAUCAAAAGGAUUUACUCUGAAAAUAUUUAAAAGCAUAAAUGAAAAUCGGUCUUUUCUGGCCGAGAUUUUGGGGAUGUCACAGUUGGUAUCAGAGCAUUAGUUUAAGCGAACUAGGAAUUUGUAGGAUUUCUAGACUUAAACUUAGAAUGCUAAGUGAAGUUUUGAGAUGUGUGUCUGUUGUGUUUUAGACACGAGCACUAGUUUAUUUUAGGAAAGUUGCCUAAAAUGCUUUAUGUGCUAAAUGUUAUAUGUUGCCAUAUAUGAUAUUAUUUGUUCGGAUCUAUGGUCUGUUGCCGACCGGAUCUAGAAACCUUAUGUGUGUAGGAUUCUAAGCGUACGUCUACGAUAUUAGAACUAGCAUGUAAACGUUUCGGAGUGAUAAGGAUGAUUUGAAUAUCUAUCAUGAUUGAGGAUCUAAUUUCACCUUAUUCGGGGUGUAGAUCAAAAUGGUGAGAACAAGAAGUGGAGUUGGAAAUGCUGACGAAAACAGGAAUCAACCACCAGUGAUUGAGCCAAUACCUGUCGUAGCAGCAGCACCUGAGCCAAUAACCAUGGCUGGUGUGCAAUUGAUGAUUCAGACGAUGUUGGAUCGUCAGAUGGAUGAAACUAGACGGUUGCUUCAACAAAAUCGUGAAGAACUGUCGAUUCGUGUGGAAGAGCCUGAAUUAAAUGAAGGGCACUCGGAAGGUGGAAACUUCAGUGGGUCUGUUGGUCCAGCCAACCCACCGAUAGUUAGGCAAGAUAACCAUGAAGGAAGGAAUGAUGGAAUGGGAUGCAAGUACAAGGACUUUUUGACUUGCAAACCAUCGACCUUCAAUGGAAAGGAGGAUCCGAUUGGGGUUAUGGAUUGGAUCUCCGAAAUGGAGUUAGCCUUUAUGACAUGUGGCUGCAGAGGUAAGUUGCAGACUAUCUAUGCCGUGCGACAAUUCCGAGGUGGAGCCGUUCGUUGGUGGAACACUCUAGGGAAGACCUUAAGCCCUAAUGAGCCACUGCAAUUGUCAUGGGCAGAGUUCUUGGUGCAGUUCAAGCGCAAGUUCUGCUCGGCUCAAAAUCUGUUGGAGUUGGAGAAUAAGUUUUUGACAUUGACGAAGGGUAGCAUGUCAGUUGAUGAAUACACCAAUAACUUCACCGAUAAGAUGGAGUUUGCCUUGCGUAUCGUUCCAGACGAGCUGACAAAGGUGGAUCGGUAUGCGAAGGGACUUCCAUGGGAGUACGAGGUGCCGGUACGUCAGGCACUUACUCUAGAGGCAGCUAUCUGGGCUGCCAAGUCUGUGGAGAACAUGAUCAAGGGGAGAACCACCGUCAAGGUUGAGGUUGGUGAGAAAAGGAAGUUUGAAGGAACAUCUGGUUCCAGUAAGAAGAGCAAAUUUUCGAAAUCUGAUUCGAAAAAGUUUGGAGGAAAAGGAGGCGAAGCAAAGUGGUGUGAUAAGUGUAAGAAAAAGCACUUUGGGAAAUGUAGCGAGGAUGUGACCUGCUACAAGUGUGGAAAGGUUGGACAUUUUGCCAAUGAAUGUCCGAACAACAAAAGGAUGUGUUUUGGUUGUAAUGAAGAGGGGCAUAUUUUGAAAGACUGUCCGAAGAAGAAGGAGGCAGCUAGGCCCAACAUUCCACCAAAGCCGAAGGCGAGAGCCUUCCAGAUGACACUUGAGGCUGCGAAAGAUGAAGCUGAUGUCGCUUCAGGUACCUUUCUCGUAAACGAAUUACCUGCUCAUAUAUUGUUUGAUUCUGGAGCCAACUACUCCUUUAUUUCGCAUGAGUUUGGUAGAAAGCUAGCUUUGCCUGUUGAUAGACUAAAUAAUGCUUUAUUAGUCGAAGUAGCUAGUGGCAAGUUUGUACCUGUUAGCCAUCGUAUGAAAAACGUCUUGAUCGACCUUAAUGGGAAUAAGUUUCUCGAGGAAUUAUUGCCUAUCGAACUAAAUGGUUUCGACAUCGUCUUGGGAAUGGAUUGGCUUAGCGCCAAUGAUGCCGAAAUUUUGUGCAAGAAGAAGAUAGUUAAAGUAAACCCGCCUGGAAAAGAUUCGUUUAUGGUGUAUGGGGACAAACGCAGAGUGAAUUCUGGAAUCAUUUCUCUAAUGAAAGCCAGAAAGUGUUUGACCAAGGGAUGUACAUCAUAUUUAGCAUUCGUGAUUGAUGCUAAGAAAGAAAAGAAGGUGAUGCAGAGCAUUCCAGUGGUGUGUGAUUAUCCGGAAGUAUUUCCCGAGGAUCUUCCUGGAUUACCACCUGAUAGACAAGUGGAGUUCAGAAUAGACUUGUUACCAGGAACCACGCCAAUAGCAAAAGCACCUUAUCGAUUAGCACCGACGGAGAUGAAGGAGCUAAUGAUGCAACUUCAGGAGUUAUUGGACAAAGGUUUCAUUAGACCUAGUUCAUCGCCCUGGGGAGCUCCGGUGUUAUUUGUAAAGAAGAAAGAUGGAAGUAUGAGAAUGUGCAUCGAUUACAGAGAGCUGAACAAGGCAACAAUAAAGAAUAGAUAUCCGUUGCCGAGGAUUGAUGACCUGUUUGAUCAAUUGCAAGGUUCGAGCUAUUUCUCGAAGAUCGAUCUUAGGUCAGGAUAUCAUCAGCUGAAAGUAAGAGAGCAAGAUAUCGAGAAGACUGCAUUCAGAACUAGAUAUGGACACUACGAGUUCUUGGUUAUGUCGUUUGGACUAACCAAUGCUCCAGCAGCGUUCAUGGAUUUGAUGAAUAGGGUUUGUAAUCCUUUCCUUGAUAAAUCCGUGAUAGUGUUCAUAGACGACAUUCUGAUCUACUCGAAAAGCCAGGAGGAGCAUGGCAGACACUUGCGAGAAGUGUUAGAAGUUUUGAAGAAGGAGAAGCUUUAUGCGAAGUUCUCCAAAUGUGAUUUUUGGAUUCGUGAAGUCCAAUUCUUGGGUCACGUGGUCAACCAAGAAGGGAUAAUGGUUGAUCCAGCGAAGAUCGAAGCUGUGACGAAGUGGGAACAACCGAAAAGUCCCACGGAGAUUCGAAGCUUUUUAGGAUUAGCCGGAUAUUACCGAAGGUUUAUCCAAGGCUUUUCUUCGAUUGCUACUCCAUUAACAGCUUUGACCCACAAAGGAGCUACUUAUGCUUGGAGUGAGAAGCAUAAAGAAGCAUUCGAGAAGUUAAAGAAGAAGCUAUGCGAGGCACCGAUACUUUCUCUACCCGAUGGAGUUGAAGACUUCGCUGUUUAUAGCGAUGCGUCUGGUGUUGGAUUGGGUUGUGUUUUGACCCAAAGAGAAAAGGUGAUAGCAUAUGCGUCUCGACAGCUGAAAGAGCAUGAAAAGAAUUACCCGACUCAUGAUUUGGAGUUGGCAGCGGUAGUUUUCGCUCUGAAAAUAUGGAGGCAUUACCUCUAUGGCACGAAGUGCAAACUUUUCACUGAUCAUAAGAGUCUCCAAUACCUCUUUAAUCAGAAAGAAUUGAAUAUGAGGCAACGACGCUGGCUAGAAUUACUUAAAGACUACGACUGCGAGAUACUUUACCACCCCGGUAAAGCUAAUGUUGUUGCUGAUGCUCUCAGUCGGAAGGUCAAUCUUGAAAGGAAGAGGCCAAGAGCGUUGAGAAUUGAAGUUGUCUCGACCAUUGUGGAAAGUAUAAAGAAAGCUCAAGAGGAAGCUUCUGAGAAAAAUGACCGAAAGGAGGAACGUUUGGGUAAAACGUUGGUGUUUGGUACUAACGGUCAUGGACUGAAGGUAUUCCAAGAUCGUAUUUGGGUACCUAAGUCAGGAGGAAUUAGAGAUCUUCUGAUGGAAGAAGCUCACAAGACCAUGUACUCGAUUCAUCCGGGUAGCACUAAAAUGUAUAGGGACCUGAAACCCUACUACUGGUGGCCGACGAUGAAGCUUGAUGUUGCAAAGUAUGUGGCCGAGUGUGUGACUUGUGCGAGAGUCAAGACACAACAUCAGAAACCGUACGGGAGUUUAGAACCUUUGCCUGUGCCUAUGGGUAAGUGGGAAGACAUUGCUAUGGAUUUUGUCACUAAACUGCCCAGAACAAAGAAUGGUCACGACAUGAUUUGGGUGGUCGUUGAUCGAUUCACUAAGAGUGCGCAUUUCAUAGCGGCCAGGGAGAAAUGGUCUAUGGAAAAGCUUGCGAAUUCUUACGUGAAGGAAAUUGUGAGGCUUCACGGUGUUCCGUUAACGAUUGUAUCGGAUCGUGAUAGCCGUUUCACCUCAAGGUUUUGGAAAAGUCUACAAGAGGAAAUGGGUACCAAGUUAUGUUUAAGCACAGCUUACCAUCCGCAGACUGAUGGUCAGAGUGAAAGAACAAUACAAACACUUGAAGAUAUGCUGAGAGCAUGUACCUUGGAAUUCCUAGGUAAUUGGGAUGAACAUUUACCGUUGGUAGAAUUUUCCUAUAAUAAUAGUUUUCACUCGAGCAUUAAGAUGGCACCUUAUCAAGCUUUGUAUGGACAGAAGUGUCGUACGCCGUCUUGUUGGCUUGAGGCUGGGGAAAAGCAGUUUAUGGGACCGGAGUUGGUUCAUCAAACUGCUGAAAAGUUGAAAAUAAUUAGGGAAAGAAUGUUAGCAGCUCAAGAUCGUCAAAAGAGCUAUGCUGACAAGAAGCGAAGACCGAUGACUUUUGAGGUUGGAGAUUCGGUUUUGCUUAAAGUCUCGCCGUGGAAGGGACUUAUAAGAUUUGGUAAAAGGGGAAAGUUGAGUCCAAGGUUUAUUGGACCGUUUAGAGUCCUUCAGAGGAUUGGGAAUCAAGCUUACAAGCUCGAAUUACCCGAAGAACUGAAUGGAAUUCACAACACCUUUCAUGUGUGUUAUUUGAGGAAGUUCACGGGAGAAGUUCCCGAUAUAAUUCCAAUUUCUGAAUUGAGAAUUGAUGAGAACAAAAGGUUGAUUGAAGAACCAGAGGCAAUUGUUGACCGAAAGACUAAGAAGUUGCGACGCAAAAUGGUUGGGUUAGUGCUUGUCCGAUGGAAACACACGAAUGGGCCGAAUCUCACCUGGGAGACGGAGAGUGACAUGUUGAGUCGCUAUCCGCAUUUGUUUGUUGAUGUGUGAUUCCGGGGACGGAAUCAUUCUAAGGUGGAGAGAAUUGUAACGCCUGUGUUUCGGGCUUGCCAUUUGUAGCAAUGUAAUAGUCUAGGUUAACCUCUGUAACCCGUUUUGAAAUAAUAAGAUUGUAUUAUUUGAGUAUUGUGUGUUUUGUGCUUAAUUGCUUAAUUAUGUGGUUUGAUUAAUUAAGAAUAAAAAUAAGCGUCAAAAUUUAAGUGUAAAAUAAACUUAAUAUAUUUGGUUAAUGUUGUAGUAGUUGAAACGAGGUUUCCGAAUAUAUAUAGAACGCCCAAAUCUGACUUCGUAUGAGGAAGUUAUGAUUUAUCGAAGUUCCGGCUUAGCGGUAUACAGCCUGUUUUACUCGAUUUGAGAUCGAGCGGUUGUUAGCCGAAGCAAUCUAAAUGAGAAUCGAAGAUCUCAUUGUUGGUAUCGAAGCGAUAAAAAGUUAGGCGAGAACGGACGUCAAACGAAGAAGUUAUGAAUUUAUAACGAAAGUUUCUGUCCCGGCCUAUUAAAAAUAAUUAAUAAAAAUAAAGUCAAAAUUAGCCGACGGAGUCUAAACGAAAGUCGUAGAGCGUGGUCUCACCUUCGCGUGGAUAUAAAGAACGUCGAAAACGGAGUUCGUAUGAAGAAGUUAUGAAUUUCCGAAGUUUAUUAAUCAUUUUGUAUUUAUAUUUAAAUCAAAAUUCGGAAGCAUUAUCCGAAGGAGUCACCGAUCUGAUCCGAGGUACGCCCCGCGUACUCGAGUACGCCCCGCGUACUCCGAGGGAUGUCGACACUCGCACUCGAGCACUUCGGAUACGUAAGCAAUGACGUUUUGGGCAGUACGCCCCGCGUAACGCAGUACGCCCCGCGUACUCCGAGGCUCCAGCCUCCUAUAAAUAGGAUGCGAGGGUUCCGGGUAUUUUUGCCAAUUCCCUCUCGUUUUCGUGUCGAAGCUCUGUGCAAAAACCCCCGAAGCUACCCCGAAGCCCCGGUAUCAUACUCUAGCCCCGAGGCAAGUCCCGAGAUCCCGAAGAUCCCGAAAAGUGCGGUUCCCGAGUCGAAGCUCUGCCCGCGAGAAGUUCGAUUUUCGAGAAGAUCUUCCAGAUCUGCUGUGGAUUACUACUUCUAUAAGUCGUAGUGCUGUCCGAUCAUCUUCUGAUCAAGUGAGUGUGUAGUUAUUUCUUCUAAUACAAUAAUACGAAGUAUUUUAUAUAAAAAUACGUGCUAUGUGUAUAUAUUUGGUUGUGUUAUGUUAUUGGACCGUUUAAAGUUCUUCUAUCUCAUAAAUAUGAUUUAUUCUCUGUGAGAUAUGUGUUAUGUGUGUGUGUGCCUCAUCUGUUAUGUGGAUUAUGUGUUGAUUAAAGCAUGCUAUACAAGUUUUCAAAACUAUGUAUAAAAUGUAUAUUUUAUCUACUAAUAUGUUGGGUAGAACAUGGGUAGAUAGUUGGUGUGUAAUAAACAGAUGAGAGGCCUCGUUGUUGUUUGAUUUAGUCAUCUAGUAGAGUUUAGAUGACGACCAUUGGCUAUUCUAGACAGUCUUGUGGAAACAUUAGCAGGUUCGCCACCUGUAGGUGUUAAUGAACUUGGGUGUUCAUUCGCUGUACUCCAUCCCCCUCAUGGUUGCCUUAUUUGACUUAUAUUGCUGAGGUACCCCCGAAGCAUGUGUUGUCGCCCCGAUGAAAUAUUCUUAGACUAGGUCCCUUGUGUUAGUUGUUUUAGGGACAUAAAGUGAGAAUAACGGGAAUGGGUAAUUGGGUUAUUGUUGGUUGGUGGAAAUUAAAUAUGAUUAUUUAUUGUGGGUUGAAAACCCUAUAUGCUCACCAGGCUCCCAAGCCUGACCCACUCAGUUUUAUUUGUAUUACAGGAAGUGGCGCGAGGGCAUGAGAUGGAUGAACCAUCAGUUGUUUUGUUUACAAGUCUGUAUAUGUAUAUAUUUGUUGAAUGACUUGUAAUGUUAUCGUUUAUGCUUAUUGGUCUGUAUCGGAACAUGACACCCCGAGUUUUGAUUAUAUAAUGAAAAAUACAUUUCUUUUAUGAAAUGCUUUGGUAAACAUUGUUUUAUCAUGUUUUGUUUUUGGGAACAAAUUCCGCAACUCUUUCAAAUCAAAAGGAUUUACUCUGAAAAUAUUUUAAAAGCAUAAAUGAAAAACGGUCUUUUCUGGCCGAGAUUUUGGGGAUGUCACAUAAGUCUACAACGGGAUCGUAGCAUUUACCAAUAUUAGGUAGGCCAUGGUUCGAGUGGUCAGUUCGACCGAGGAAAGAUCAGUUCAUGUCUGGGUUGAGGCAAAUAGUAUUGAUGGAGGACCACUCCUUGAGUAGUAUGAGGAUUGAUGGAUCUGAGGCAAUGAGUGGUUUGUUCGAUUAGGUAGUGUGUGUGAGAUCCGGUAGGUUCAACUGGAG
rnacentral:lncRNA from 1 species